rnacentral:rRNA from 1 species
CGGGUGAGUAAUACAUAGGAACCUGCCCUUGCCACGGGGAUAACCCUGCGAAAGUGGGGCUAAUACCCGAUACGUGCAGUAUCUUUGGUACUGCAUGAAAGCUUCGGCGGGCAAGGAGGGGCCUAUGGCCUAUCAGCUUGUUGGUGAGGUAACGGCUCACCAAGGCGACGACGGGUAGCCGGCCUGAGAGGGUGAUCGGCCACACUGGGACUGAGACACGGCCCAGACUCCUACGGGAGGCAGCAGUGAGGAAUCUUGGGCAAUGGGCGCAAGCCUGACCCAGCGACGCCGCGUGGGGGAUGAAGGCCUUCGGGUUGUAAACCCCUUUUGGAGGGGAAGAUGAUGACGGUACCCUCCGAAUAAGCCCCGGCUAACUACGUGCCAGCAGCCGCGGUAAUACGUAGGGGGCGAGCGUUAUCCGGUCUUACUGGGCGUAAAGCGUCUGUAGGCGGGGAAGAAAGUCUGUCGUUAAAGCCUCCGGCUUAACCGGAGAGAUGCGAUGGAAACUUCUUCCCUUGAGGGCAGGAGAGGAAGGCGGAAUUCCCGGUGUAGGGGUGAAAUCCUUUGAUAUCGGGAGGAACACCAAAGGCGAAGGCAGCCUUCUAUUCUGCUCCUGACGCUGAGAGACUAAAGCCAGGGGAGCGAAACGGAUUAGAUACCCGUGUAGUCCUGGCCCUAAACGAUGCUCACUAGGAGUUCCGAGAGUCGACCCUUGGUGCUCCGAAGCUAACGCGUUAAGUGAGCCGCCUGGGGAGUACGGUCGCAAGACUGAAACUCAAACGAAUUGACGGGGGGCCGCAC